rnacentral:lncRNA from 7 species
GGGUGUUUUCCUGCUGUAGCCUCACCUUGCUGCUGAGCACAGAGUAGGAGCCUGCUGGGUGCCAGGUUUGGAUGUUUUAAUCUCUGAGUGGCUCCUACGACGUCUUCACGCGCUGCUUGGACAAUGAAAGUGAAUGACCAGCAGCUCUGUCACUACAGGAAGGUCUAUAAAGCUUGCAGAAUACACAAAAGCCAAACUCAGAACCACUCGGAAUAGGAAGAUUCAGCUGCUGGUUGCUUCUCUGCAUAGAACAAAGAAUUUCAUGUCUUUGGAUCUCUGUUUUUUUACACUCGUGGACUCAUGGACACGCAGCACUAAGCAGUGCAUUGCCUGGCACCCACUGGAUGUCUCACAGCAGCGAUGGUGCAGCAUUUGAAUGCUCUAUAGCAUGUUUGCACUGACUUUAUUUUUUUCUGUCUUAGGCAUGUAAACUGGCUCCCGUGUUUACUUAAACAUCAUAAAUACGUUGGGGCCAAAGUGGUUUUGUUCUGUUUCUUCCCACGGGAUGUAUCCAAUUCAGGAUAUUAUUUUCAGAUAAUGGCUUAAAUGGGAAUAUGCGUGUUCACAUACUGCUAACAUGACUGCCAUAAUAAUAUGAUCUCUUUUAGGAAAUUAUGCAUGCAGAAUCAGCACGUUGAUAAGUGCUGUAUAAAGCUAAAAUUCAGAAGUGACAGUUAAUGACUUAUCUGUUGAAGGUAGCCAACUGUCCUAAGGAAAAAUAAUUGUUUC